GCUAGUAAUCGCGGAUCAGAAUGCCGCGGUGAAUACGUUCCCGGGUCUUGUACACACCGCCCGUCACACCAUGGGAGUCAGUAACGCCCGAAGCCGGUGACCCAACCUAUUCUGGAGGGAGCCGUCGAAGGCGGGACGGAUGACUGGGGUGAAGUCGUAACAAGGUACC
rnacentral:rRNA from 1 species